GGGGUUGUGGCUCAGUGGUAGAGUAUUCACCAAGCACAUGCAAGGCCCUGGGUUUGAUCCUCAGCACCACA
rnacentral:tRNA from 1 species